rnacentral:lncRNA from 1 species
CCCAGUGUCACCAACAGUGUCACCAACAGCGUCACCAACAGUGUCACCAACAACGUCACCAACGGUGUCACCAACAGUGUCACCAACAGUGUCCCCAACGGUGUCCCCAGUGUCCCCAGGCGUGUCCCCAACAAUGUCCCCAACUGCCACAGCACCAUCCCCAGUGUCCCCAGUGUCCCCAGUGUCCUCAGCACCAUCCCCACUGUCCCCAAUGUCCCCACUGUCCCCGAGUGGGCCCCGCCACCCCCCGGCCCCCUCUUGACUUGGAGACUCGGUGACAGCGCCGGACACGGUGACACCCCCGGACAUGGUGACAGCGCUGGACACGGUGACACUGCCAGACACGGUGACACUGGACACGGUGACACUGGACAUGGUGACACUGGACACGGUGACACCCCCGGACAUGGUGACACGGCCAGCACAGGCUCCGCCCACCUUUAACCCGGGAGAGGGGGGUGGGGGAGGGGCUGGAAUUUCCCUCCCCUCCCCCCCCAGGAAGAUUUUUCCAGGGAAUUCCCGAAUUCCCGGACAGAUGCACUUUGUUGGGAAUUCCCAAAUCUUUUUUGUUUUUCCCGGGAAAAUAAAAAAAAUUCCCAAAAUUCCCAUAAAUCUUGUACGUACGCCCCUCCCCCACCCUGUAAAUAGCCCCUCCCCCCUCCGGCCGACAAUCGGGGGCGGCACCCCCAAAAUCCCGGGAUUUCACCCCAAAAAAUCCCGGGAUUUCCCAAAAAAAAUCCUGGGAAUUCAUCCAAAAACAUCCUGGGAAUUCAUCCCAAAAAUCCUGGGAUUUCACCCCAAAAAAUCCCGGGAUUUCCCAAAAAAAUUCUGGGAUUUCACCCCAAAAAUUCUGGGAUUUCCCAAAAAAAUCCUGGGAUUUCACCCCAAAAUCCUGGGAAUUCAUCCCAAAAAUCCUGGGAUUUCCCAAGAAAAAAAUCCUGGGAAUUCAUCCCAAAAAAUCCCGGGAUUCCCUCCAAAAAAUCUGGGAUUUCCCCUCAAAAAUUCUGGGAUUUCACCCCAAAAAUCCUGGGAAUUCAUCCCAAAAAAUCCUGGGAUUUCCCCAAAAAUCCUGGGAUUUCCCAAAAAAAAUCCUGGGAUUUCACCCCAAAAAUCCUGGGAAUUCAUCCCAAAAAUCCCGGGAUUUCACCCCAAAAAUCCUGGGAAUUCAUCCCAAAAAUCCUGGGAAUUCAUCCCAAAAAAUCCUGAGAUUUCCCCCAAAAAAUCCCAGGAUUUCCCAAAAAAAUCCUGGGAAUUCAUCCCAAAAAUCCUGGGAACUCAUCCCAAAAAAUCCUGGGAAUUCAUCUCAAAAAAUCCCGGGAUUUCCCCAAAAAAUCCUGGGAAUUCAUCCCAAAAAAUCCUGGGAAUUCAUCCCAAAAAAUCUUGGGAUUUCACCCCAAAAAUUCUGGGAUUUCACCCCAAAAAUUCUGGGAUUUCACCCCAAAAAUCCUGGGAAUUCAUCCCAAAAAAUCCUGGGAAUUCAUCCCAAAAAAAUCUGGGAUUUCCCCCAAAAAAUCCUGGGAAUUCAUCCCAAAAAAAAUCUGGGAUUUCCCAAUAAAAUCCUGGGAUUUUCCCCCCAAAAUUCCGGGAUUUCCCCCCAAAAUUCCAGGAUUUCCCCCCAAAUUCCAGGAUUUUCCCCCAAAUCCCGGGAUUUCCCCUCUAUAAAUAUUAUAAAUACAGAGAUGGAAACUUGGAAGAAUUCCCGAAUCUUGGACUCCUUUUUUUGGGAUUUGGGAAUUUCGGGAUCCAGCCCCGGCCCCAGGGACCCCAAAGUGUCCCCAAAGGCCCAAAAGUGUCCCCAAAGUGUCCCCAAGGUCCCCUGGGGGAGGAAAUCCUGUCCCUGGGGGUGUCAGUGUCCCAGGGAGGGGAGUGACAGUGUCCCCAGGUGGGUGUCAUUGUCCCCAGGGGGGUGACAGUGUCCCCAAGGGGUGACAGUGUCCCCAGGGGGGGUGUCAGUGUCCCCAAGGGGUGUCAGUGUCCCCAGGGGGUGUCAUUGUCCCCAGGGGGGGUGACAGUGUCCCCAGGUGGGUGUCAUUGUCCCCAGGGGUGGUGUCAGUGUCCCCAGGGGGUGUCAGUGUCCCCAAGGGCUGUCAUUGUCCCCAGGGGGGUGACAGUGUCCCCAGGGGGGUGUCAGUGUCCCCAGGGGGUGUCAGUGUCCCCAGGGGCUGUCAUUGUCCCCAGGGGGGUGACAGUGUCCCCAGGGGGUGACAGUGUCCCCAAGGGGUGACAGUAUCCCCAGGGGGGUGACAGUGUCCCCAAGGGGUGACAGUGUCCCCAAGGGGGGUGACAGUGUCCCCAGGGGUGGUGUCAUUGUCCCCAAGGGGGGGUGUCAGUGUCCCCAAGGAGUGUCAUUGUCCCCAGGGGUGGUGUCAGUGUCCCCAGUGAGGUGUCAGUGUCCCCAGGGGGGUGACAGUGUCCCCAGGGGGGUGUCAGUGUCCCCAAGGGGGUGACAGUGUCCCCAGGGGGUGUCAGUGUCCCCAGGGGGGUGGCAGUGUCCCCAGGGGUGGUGUCAUUGUCCCCAGGGGGGUGUCAGUGUCCCCAGGGGGUGUCAUUGUCCC